UGAGGAAUAUUGGACAAUGGAUGGAAAUCUGAUCCAGCCAUGCCGCGUGCAGGAAGACGGCCCUAUGGGUUGUAAACUGCUUUUGUAUGGGAGCAAUAAGGUCUAUGCGUAGACUGAUGAGAGUACCAUACGAAUAAGCAUCGGCUCACUCCGUGCCAGCAGCCGCGGUAAUACGGGGGAUGCAAGCGUGAUCCGGAUUUAUUGGGUUUAAAGGGUGCGUAGGCGGUUUGAGAAGUCAGCGGUGAAUUAUUUCAGCUUAACUGAAAGGGUGCCGUUGAUACUGUCAGGCUUGAAUAUGGUUGCUGUGGGUGGAAUGUGGGGUGUAGCGGUGAAAUGCUUAGAUAUCACACAGAAUAUCGAUUGCGAAGGCAGCUCACAAAGCCAUUAUUGACGCUGAUGCACGAAAGUGUGGGGAUCAAACA
rnacentral:rRNA from 1 species